rnacentral:rRNA from 1 species
GUAGGGAAUAUUGGGCAAUGGAUGCAAGUCUGACCCAGCCAUCCCGCGUGCCGGAAGAAGGCCCUCAGGGUUGUAAACGGCUUUUGACGGUGAAGAAUCGACAGGAUGCGUCCUGUUUUGACGGUAGCCGUUGAAUAAGCACCGGCUAACUCCGUGCCAGCAGCCGAGGUAAUACGGAGGGUGCGAGCGUUGUCCGGAUUUAUUGGGUUUAAAGGGUGCGUAGGCUGGAAGGUCAGUCAGCGGUGAAAAGAUGUCGCUUAACGAUAGUCUUGCCGCAGAUACUUCCUUUCUUGGAUGAGGAGGAGGCCACUGGAACGGAUGGUGUAGCGGUGAAAUGCAUAGAUAUCAUCCAGAACACCGAUUGCGAAGGCAGGUGGCUGUACCUUAAUCGACGCUGAUGCACGAAAGCAUGGGGAGCAAACAGGAUUAGAAACCCUUGUAGUCC